rnacentral:rRNA from 1 species
AGCGAACGCUGGCGGCAGGCCUAAUACAUGCAAGUCGAGCGCACCUUCGGGUGAGCGGCGGACGGGUGAGUAACGCGUGGGAAUGUGCCCUUUGGUACGGAACAACUGAGGGAAACUUCAGCUAAUACCGUAUGUGCCCUUCGGGGGAAAGGAUUUAUCGCCAUAGGAGCAGCCCGCGUUGGAUUAGGUAGUUGGUGAGGUAAAGGCUCACCAAGCCUACGAUCCAUAGCUGGCUGAGAGGAUGAUCAGCCACACUGGGACUGAGACACGGCCCAGACUCCUACGGGGAGGCAGCAGGUAGGGAAUCUUGCGCAAUGGGCGAAAGCCUGACGCAGCCAUGCCGCGUGAAUGAUGAA